CGGAUGUCCACAUGUAUAUGAAGGUGAACGUGAUCUCUGAUGUUUCCAUUAACUCUUUUGGAUUCGCCAUACAGUCAUCAUAAGCCAAAGUAUGAGGACACAGUGUCGUGGCUGGAGUGAAAGGCCAGAGAGUUAAGACUUGGUGAUGAGGAGCAAAUCCGUGAACAGGAAACAGUAAACAUCCACCUGGAAGCUCCCUCAAG